rnacentral:rRNA from 1 species
UUAGGCCUACGGGGGGCAGCAGUGGGGAAUAUUGCACAAUGGGGGAAACCCUGAUGCAGCGACGCCGCGUGAGUGAAGAAGUAUUUCGGUACGUAAAGCUCUAUCAGCAGGGAAGAAAAAAAGUCCUUUGGACUUUGGACGGUACCUGACCAAGAAGCCCCGGCUAACUACGUGCCAGCAGCCGCGGUAAUACGUAGGGGGCAAGCGUUAUCCGGAUUUACUGGGUGUAAAGGGAGCGUAGACGGCAGCGCAAGUCUGGAGUGAAUGGCAGGGCCCCACCCCGGGG